ensembl:snRNA U2 U2 spliceosomal RNA
AUCACUUCUCGGCCUUUUGGCUAAGAUCAAGUGUAGUAAAACCCAGCGUGCCAGUGACAGAAAAUCUAGUCUUACUGUGUGGGUGUAGUACUUUCUAGAAUACCAAACUCUAUGUACAACACAUCUAGGUCAAUGUUUGCCCAAAGCAUGUUUCCCCAAGACUUGGU